CUCUAUGCCAGCUCUAGUACCCUACGAAUAGAUGAUGGUAAUAGAACAGUAGUUUGGUUGCAUGCUUCAAGCAUUUGGUUUUAUAAAAUAAUUUACUUUGAUAAAAAGAAUUAGUUAGGAGUUAAGACCGUUAGGUGUUUAGGUGCGUUUCCUUUACGAAUUGCAUAUAAUAGUAAAGUAGCUAUCUUGGGAAUGUCAAACGAGUUGUUGCUAAGAUGAUUUUUAACAAGGUAAACUACAGUAUUAACCCAUUGCUUGUACCUUGAUCGAUAAGUCUGCUGCCAGCUAUAAGUGGUCUAAACAUUAGCUAGGUGCAUAUUGCCGACAAUCGCUAUGAAUAAAAAUGCAUUGUUAAUUCAAUUUAUCAAGGGGAAAGCAUUGCAAUUGAUCGAAACGAACGGUUAAGCAAAGUUAACAUCAAGUUAGAUAGUUGAUGUUUUUGAUGGUUUAUAGACAGUUUGUCUUCACGAACAAAUCACUUCGUUCAAUUGCAAUCAAGGAAAUAAAUUGGCGUGAAUGAAAAAAAAAAACAUGAAAAUAAUUCAUAUUGGUUUCAAAAAAAGAUGAGCCUACAGCACCCCGGAUUCCCAUGUUGUCUCCAACCAUAGUACCAACGAGGCCCUCAGACGCUUAACUGCAGUGAUCGGACGGGAACUGGUGUUUUCGCCUACGUAUGGCCGUA